GUUGAAACCCUACUUUUCCAUCACAAUUCUGCCCCCAUUCGUAUUCUCGAGAAGAUCUUAAACACGUUUAUCACUCUGAAUUCUGCAAACUAUAUGUCAAUUAUUUUAUCCACUGAGCAGGAGUCUUUUGCAUUCUCAAAUUAAAGGUGUUUGUUUCUUUUCUCCUUCAUCUUGCUUAAUAAAGGUGUUUGUUUCCUUUCUCCUUCAUCUUGCUUAAUUUGAUGUCUUAUUUUAUUUAGAAGAGAAUGAAUCGCAAUAUCACUCACAUAAUAUUAGAUCGAUUAAAAAGGUAAUUCUUUGUUCCACAACCCUUAGCUCUGGUACUGCAAAUCUUUGUUAUUUGUUUGUAACUUACGCUUAUCAAAAGGAAAGCAUUUUGUUUGUUUUCGUAUUUUUAACAUAUUACAUCUUUUUAUACGGUUUUUUUACUAAUGCGUGAUUUAAUUUAUAUCAAGGUUUUGUUAUUUGUUUGUAACUUACACUUAUCAAAAGGAAAGCAUUUUGUUUGUUUUCGUAUUUUUAACAUAUUACAUCUUUUUAUACGGUUUUUUUACUAAUGCGUGAUUUAAUUUAUAUCAAGGUGUUCUUGAGUUCUUCUGAGGGUUCAUGUGGAAUCUGUAUUCAUGGGUCAUGGAGGCUACUGAUCAUGGUUAUGAAGGGGUAUCUUUUGGGAAGAAAUUGAAAGACAAACAAAUUGAAGAAUGGAAAGGGUGCUAGAAGACUUGGGCGUAUAUAUGUUCUCGAAGACUUCUUAAGAAUGCUCGAUAACCAGGUAAAAUAUACCAAAACUUAACCUUUAUAUUUAGAAAUACAAUUGAUUGUU